rnacentral:rRNA from 1 species
GUCUACGGCCAUGCCACCCUGAACGUGCCCAAUCUCGUCUGAUCUCUGAAGCUAAGCCGGGUCAGGCCUGGUUAGUACUUGAAUGGGAGACCACUUAGGAAUACCAGGUACUGUAGGCG